rnacentral:rRNA from 1 species
UGGGGAAUAUUGCACAAUGGGCGCAAGCCUGAUGCAGCGACGCCGCGUGAGGGAUGACGGCCUUCGGGUUGUAAACCUCUUUCAAUAGGGACGAAGCGCAAGUGACGGUACCUAUAGAAGAAGGACCGGCCAACUACGUGCCAGCAGCCGCGGUAAUACGUAGGGUCCGAGCGUUGUCCGGAAUUACUGGGCGUAAAGAGCUCGUAGGUGGUUUGUCGCGUUGUUCGUGAAAACUCACAGCUUACCUGUGGGCGUGCGGGCGAUACGGGCAGACUAGAGUACUGCAGGGGAGACUGGAAUUCCUGGUGUAGCGGUGGAAUGCGCAGAUAUCAGGAGGAACACCGGUGGCGAAGGCGGGUCUCUGGGCAGUAACUGACGCUGAGGAGCGAAAGCGUGGGGAGCGAACAGG